UCCUCCCUCUUUCUUCGUGCUUAACACAUGCAAGUCGAACGAAGAGCGAUGGACGCUUGCUUCUAUCAAUCUUAGUGGCGAACGGGUGAGUAACGCGUAAUCAACCUGCCCUUCAGAGGGGGACCACAGUUGGAAACGACUGCUAAUACCGCAUACGAUCUAAUCUCGGCAUCGAGGAUAGAUGAAAGGUGGCCUCUACAUGUAAGCUAUCACUGAAGGAGGGGAUUGCGUCUGAUUAGCUAGUUGGAGGGGUAACGGCCCACCAAGGCGAUGAUCAGUAGCCGGUCUGAGAGGAUGAACGGCCACAUUGGGACUGAGACACGGCCCAGACGCCUACGGGAGGCAGCAGUGGGGAAUCUUCCGCAAUGGACGAAAGUCUGACGGAGCAACGCCGUGUGAGCGAGGACGGCCUUCGGGUUGUAAAGCUCUGUUAAUCGGGACGAAAGGCCUUCUUGCGAAUAGGGAGAAGGAUUGACGGUACCGGAAUAGAAAGCCACGGCUAACUACGUG
rnacentral:rRNA from 1 species